AUUGAACGCUGGCGGCAUGCCUUACACAUGCAAGUCGAACGGAUCUAGGGGCUUGCUCCUAGGUUAGUGGCGAACGGGUAAGUAAUGCAUCGGAACGUACCGUGUAGUGGGGGAUAACCUGGCGAAAGUCAGAUUAAUACCGCAUACGAUCUACGGAUGAAAGCGGGGGACCUUCGGGCCUCGCGCUAUACGAGCGGCCGAUGUCGGAUUAGCUAGUUGGUGAGGUAAAGGCUCACCAAGGCGACGAUCCGUAGCGGGUCUGAGAGGAUGAUCCGCCACACUGGGACUGAGACACGGCCCAGACUCCUACGGGAGGCAGCAGUGGGGAAUUUUGGACAAUGGACGCAAGUCUGAUCCAGCCAUGCCGCGUGAGUGAAGAAGGCCUUCGGGUUGUAAAGCUCUUUUGUCAGGGAGCAAAUCCUGCCUGCUAAUACUAGGUGGGGAUGAGAGUACCUGAAGAAUAAGCACCGGCUAACUACGUGCCAGCCGCCGCGGUAAGAC
rnacentral:rRNA from 1 species